CGGCGCACGGGUGAGUAACGCGUAUCCAACCUGCCCACCACUUGGGGAUAACCUUGCGAAAGUAAGACUAAUACCCAAUGAUAUCUCUAGAAGACAUCUGAAAGAGAUUAAAGAUUUAUCGGUGAUGGAUGGGGAUGCGUCUGAUUAGCUUGUUGGCGGGGUAACGGCCCACCAAGGCAACGAUCAGUAGGGGUUCUGAGAGGAAGGUCCCCCACAUUGGAACUGAGACACGGUCCAAACUCCUACGGGAGGCAGCAGUGAGGAAUAUUGGUCAAUGGGCGAGAGCCUGACCCAGCCAAGUAGCGUGCAGGAAGACGGCCCUAUGGGUUGUAAACUGCUUUUAUAAGGGAAUAAAGUUAGUCUCGUGAGACUUUUUGCAUGUACCUUAUGAAUAAGGACCGGCUAAUUCCGUGCCAGCAGCCGCGGUAAUACGGAAGGGCCGGGCGUUAUCCGGAUUUAUUGGGUUUAAAGGGAGCGUAGGCCGGAGAUUAAGCGUGUUGUGAAAUGUAGACGCUCAACGUCUGCACUGCAGCGCGAACUGGUUUCCUUGAGUACGCACAAAGUGGGCGGAAUUCGUGGUGUAGCGGUGAAAUGCUUAGAUAUCACGAAGAACUCCGAUUGCGAAGGCAGCUCACUGGAGCGCAACUGACGCUGAAGCUCGAAAGUGCGGGUAUCGAACAGGAUUAGAUACCCUGGUAGUCCGCACGGUAAACGAUGGAUGCCCGCUGUUGGUCUGAAUAGGUCAGCGGCCAAGCGAAAGCAUUAAGCAUCCCACCUGGGGAGUACGCCGGCAACGGUGAAACUCAAAGGAAUUGACGGGGGCCCGCACAAGCGGAGGAACAUGUGGUUUAAUUCGAUGAUACGCGAGGAACCUUACCCGGGCUUGAAUUGCAGAGGAAGGAUUUGGAGACAAUGACGCCCUUCGGGGUCUCUGUGAAGGUGCUGCAUGGUUGUCGUCAGCUCGUGCCGUGAGGUGUCGGCUUAAGUGCCAUAACGAGCGCAACCCCUCUCCUUAGUUGCCAUCAGGUCAAGCUGGGCACUCUGGGGACACUGCCACCGUAAGGUGUGAGGAAGGUGGGGAUGACGUCAAAUCAGCA
rnacentral:rRNA from 1 species